AAAAAUAAAAUAAACCAUACAAUCUGAAAUUCCGUCGAGAUCAAAAACAAAAUCGGAGCAUUGUAAACACAUAGUAGAGAUUGCACAUUAAAUUAACUUAACCGACGGCGACAUGACAAUUUUUGAAAGAAGAUUCUCUGACAUAAUAUGGAUCAAGUUCAUCAUGAGAGAAGGAACAUGAGGCAAAUCAUAUUAUGAUAUAACAUCAAUUUCCUUAUUAAUUGUUUACUAGACAUGACAAUUUUUGAAAGAAGAUUCUCUAACAUAAUAUGGAUCAAGUUCAUCAUGAGAGAAGGAACAUGAGGCAAAUCAUAUUAUGAUAUAACAUCAAUUUCCUUAUUAAUUGUUUACUAACUUGUGCUAAGUUGAGUCUUGUUAUUGAUUCCUUAUCACUUAGAGUUAGUUGUUUGUUUGUUAGUUUAUUAUUCUUCUAUUAGGUUUAAAGGUAGCUUCUUGUUAGACUUUUCUGUUUUGUUUCAUCUUGUAUAUAUGUAUCUUUUAUCAUUACUUUUGUAACAUUAUUAAAAGUUUAUCAAUAAC
rnacentral:lncRNA from 1 species